rnacentral:rRNA from 1 species
GACAGAGGUGCCAAGCGUUAGGCGGAAUCACUGGGCUUAAAGCGUGUGUAGGCGGAUCGUUAAGUACCUUGUGAAAUCCCACGGCUCAACCGUGGAACUGCUCGGUAUACUGGCGGUCUUGAGCCAGCUAGGGGCUACCGGAACAAAUGGUGGAGCGGUGAAAUGCGUAGAUAUCAUUUGGAACGCCAAUGGUGAAAACAGGUAGCUGGGGCUGUGCUGACGCUGAGACACGAAAGCCAGGGGAGCAAACGGG